rnacentral:rRNA from 1 species
GGGGAAUUUUCCGCAAUGGGCGCAAUCCUGACGGAGCAAUACCGCGUGAGGGAGGAAGGCUCUUGGGUCGUAAACCUCUUUUCUCAGGGAAGAACAAAAUGACGGUACCUGAGGAAUCAGCAUCGGCUAACUCCGUGCCAGCAGCCGCGGUAAUACGGAGGAUGCAAGCGUUAUCCGGAAUGAUUGGGCGUAAAGCGUCCGUAGGUGGUUAUGUAAGUCUGUGGUUAAAGCGUGGGGCUCAACCCCAUAAAGGCCAUGGAAACUACAAGACUUGAGUGAAGUAGGGGUAGAGGGAAUUCCCAGUGUAGCGGUGAAAUGCGUAGAGAUUGGGAAGAACACCGGUGGCGAAAGCGCUCUACUGGACUUAAACUGACACUGAGGGACGAAAGCUAGGGGAGCGAAAGGGAUUAGAUACCCCUGUAGUCCUAGCCGUAAACGAUGGAUACUAGGUGUUGCCCGUAUCGACCCGGGCAGUGCCGUAGCUAACGCGUUAAGUAUCC